ensembl:piRNA 21ur-8979 ncRNA
UUCAACGUAUGAAAAAUCUGA